rnacentral:rRNA from 1 species
AACGAACGCUGGCGGCGUGCCUAACACAUGCAAGUCGAACGAGAAAGGGGCUUCGGCUCCGAGUAAAGUGGCGCACGGGUGAGUAACACGUGGGUAACCUGCCUCUAAGAUUGGGAUAACUCGUCGAAAGAUGAGCUAAUACCGAAUAAGACCACAGUUCCCGCGGGAACAGGGGUCAAAGGUAGCCUCUGCUUGCAAGCUAUCACUUAGAGAUGGGCCUGCGCACCAUUAGCUAGUUGGUAGGUAACGGCCUACCAAGGCAAAGAUGGUUAGCUGGUCCGAGAGGAUGAUCAGCCCCAAUGGAACUGAGACACGGUCCAGAAUCCUACGGGAGGCAGCAGUGGGGAAUAUUGCGCAAUGGGCGAAAGCUUGACGCAGCAACGCCGCGUGAGGGAUGAAGGCCUUCGGGUCGUAAAGCUCUGUCGGGAGGAACGAAUGCUCCUGAGGUUAACAGCCUCGGGAGGUGACGGUACCUUCAAAGGAAGCACCGGCUAACUCUGUG